UACGUAGGGUGCGAGCGUUAAUCGGAAUUACUGGGCGUAAAGCGUGCGCAGGCGGCUAUUUAAGUCUGAUGUGAAAUCCCUGGGCUCAACCUAGGAACUGCGUUGGAAACUGAAUAGCUAGAAUAUGUCAGAGGGGGGUAGAAUUCCACGUGUAGCAGUGAAAUGCGUAGAGAUGUGGAGGAAUACCAAUGGCGAAGGCAGCCCCCUGGGAUAAUAUUGACGCUCAUGCACGAAAGCGUGGGGAGCAAACAGG
rnacentral:rRNA from 1 species